CAGAACCAUCCCAGCACCUAAGCUGUGGCAGCACUUCCUCACGCCCAUGCCAGCACCAGCAGUCGACCCACCCUGAACCGUAAGAGGGCUGUGCGCAUCACCUACCUGUCCAGAGAGCUGCAACCGCCUCACACCUGGGCGGCUACCACCACGCCAAGGCUGGGGCCUCUCCCCUGACUUCCUGGGCUUGCCUACUGCUAUGAAGUGACCGGGCUGGAUUACUGGGCAAACAGGUUGGACGUGGGGGCUGAACCACAUGGCCUUGCUGGCAGUCCAGGGACUGGAAGGUCAGCCACUGCAGAUGUACGCCAAGGUCCUGUCCAAGAGAUAGAUCAAGCUUUUAUAAGUGAACAUCAGAUGAUGUCAAGCCAUGGCUUACGACCCUCUUGCAGUUUCCCCUUGCUGGUARGGUACAACAUAUAUGUGGUAAGGCAUGCAGCUCGGUGAAUUUCUACACACAUACAUACAUGUAACCACGCUGAGAUGAAGUUUCAGAACAAUUUCCAGGUCUUCAUGUCCUUCUACCCCUCAGAAGUGACACUGUUUGAACUUUUGAGCCAUGGAUUGGUUUUAUUUGUUCCUGAACCUCUUGUAAAUGAAAUCCUGUAUUCUGCAUCCUUUGUAUCUCACUCUCUCUCAACUUCAUCUCUGUGAAAUCCAUCCUGGUUAUUGUGGGUAACAUUCUUUUUCAUGGCAAUGCAAUAUUUUAUUGGGUGAAGAUACCCUGAUUUGCUAGUCUAUYCUGCUGUUGACGAAUAUCAAGUCUUUUUCCAAUAAAUCUGUGCUAUGGUGUGAACGUAUGUGUCCUUUCAAAAUUCAUCUCUUGGAACUUGACCCCCAAGGUGRUGGCGCUUGGAGGUAGAGCCCUUGGGAGGUAGUUCUGCCAUGAGGGUUCUUCCUUUGUGGGUGGGAUUAGCAUCCCUCUAAAAGGGUACAAGGGAACUAGCUAGCUCCCUUUGUCCCUUCCGCCACGUAAGGACACGGCAAGAGGCACUGUGUUUGUUUGCUUUUCAUUGCUAUAACCAAAAUACCUGACAGAACAACGUCAGGAAAGGUUUACGUUGGCUCA